GUACAGGUAUUUGCGUGAAUGUUUAUGUGUAUAUACAUUUUUUCCAACCCAUUAUGAUUUUAAAAGCUGUUUAAUAUGAAUCUGGUAAUUUAAAAGUGUGAAAUCCAGGGAUGAUAUGAGAGGAUUUUUUUGUGUAGUGUGACCUUCAGGUACUUGGUUUGGGGCACAGAUGAAGAUAGAGAUGAGGAGAAUCUGAGUUGGGACAUUCUGAAAGUGAUAUAGAGGGAGAGAUAUUCUAGGUAUACAAAGUUCUAGUGUAUUCAAUGGGAGCAGCAACCCCUUACUCAUUCACUUCUUAAAAGUCUUCAACUCAGUUUACUGGGAGAUCUUCUUUGAAAAAAUGCCAAUAUAUUAUCCAUUUAAUUAUGUAAAUUUAAAAUACUUAUUUUUUUAAAGCUUACACAGCUAUUUUUGUAGAUAUUAUCUGGUUUCACAAAAUCAGAGAUUUUUAGGUAGUACUUUAAUCAGCAACUUUCUUUUCCUGAGUUUGAUUCAAUUAGUUCUUCAGCAAGAGGUCAUGGUCAUUGCUGACAUUUUCUCGGUUGUAGCAUUCUUUCUUUUAGAAUCUGAGUCUCUGGACAAUAAGAAUCUGUGCAACCAGGGAGGGAAAAUUAGCUUGUGUUAGAUUUCCAUAUUCCCAGGGAAGUUCAUGUCUUCGCUUUGUAAAAGCUCUCCCUGUGGUUUAUAGUUUGUGCCUUUCUCCUUUAGGGCUCAAGUGUCUGUUUCCUUCAAAAUUUACUGCAUUUCUGAAAAGAAAAGCUAGUACAACUAUUUUUAUGUGGAUGUGUCCAUACUAGACAAAAAUAUUUUAACUUCAUUCGUAUCAAAACCUAAGAUAUUUGCAGAUCUUUUUCAUUAGAAGGCUAAUGGCUCAUUUGAACAUCUGUUUCUUUGUUUUCCUUUAGGGAUUUCCAACUAUUCCCUAACCUCUGAGUGAGUGUGACAAAAAUUACUCUACUGCUCUGUGUUAAUGUGAUAUAACAUGAAAUGUAUAAUCAGAUGCUCCUUUCUAAUAGACAUCUCAAUCUCAGCAUAUCCAAAGCUGAACUGCUGAUAUCCAAACCCCAGGCCACAUGCCCUACCACCCCCCUCCCCUCUGGCAGCAACCUGCUAUUUUCUCCGCCUUUUCAAUACCAGUUGAUGACAGCACCAUCUUUCCAGCAAUCCCCAUAUCACCUUGGCCCACACCAUCCUGGUCUACCUUCUCUAUCUUACCCUACUUGACUUUUUCUUUUCCCCAUAGCACUUAUCAUCUCGUAACACACUAUAUGAUUUACUCAUUCAUAAUGUGUAUUGUCUAUUGUCUGUCUUUCUGAAUUAGAAUUUAAGAUUUCUCAAAGGCACAAGGGCAAGGAUCUUUGACCCAAAUGUCUAAAAUAGUGCCUCCUUGGAGGGCAAACAAUAAAUAUUUGUAAAUAAAGGAUGAAAUAAGCAAUGAAAAUAUUCCAUAAGAGAUUCUUGAGUUGGCUAUUUUUAUUGUUUGGAAGUAGCUAGAAGUAAUCAAUAUCAAAUAAUCCCUUGCUGACUAUCCAAGUUAGAAUUAUCCCAGAUUUGCUAUGAUUUGGCUGUAAAAAUAAGAGUGAGCUGAGUUCGGAUGGUUUCUAAGGACAUCCAGCAAGUAAAACAAAGUGUAAGGACUAGAAGAAUGCUUUCUAAUUUACCAAUAGUUAAUUUUUGAUAGAUCUCUGAUAUGCAACACUUCGAGAACUGGUGCACGUAGAAAAAGACGUUCGCUAUGGUCUUGAAAAAAAUCCAGUUGAUAUUUUGCUGCCAUUCUUCUAAUUCAGUAUGGUCACCUUAUUCAAAGAGCUCUGCUCUGAUCCUGACAAUACUCAAUACAUUUGGAUGAUUAAAUUUUUUUCUGCUUAAACUCUCUCAUCUCAGCUGUAGAAAUUAGAAUUAGGUAGUUUUGCUUUGUUUCUGGCCCUAAGCAAGAAAAUAAAUUUGUUUUCAUUAAAAUUUUUCUUAGAACAUGGGGGAAAAAGUAAUGAGAAGAAAGAAUUCAUAUUUCAUUUUCUUUUCAGACAAGACAGAAGCCUAUUAUUGUUUAUAAGAUAAAUUGUAUAGAGAAUUUGUGGGAUGCCAAAGUUGAAUUUUAUAGUGAAAAGAAUUAUCAUUUUGGUUUUUCCAGAAAGACUGGCUUUUACUUAAUGUGUUUGAUUAAAGAGUUUGAAUGUCAGAUACAUUGUUUUGAGUGACAUUAAUUCAUUUUCUAUACUUUAGUUUGUAGGACCAGUGUUUCAAUUUAUAUGAUGAUCUGCUUCAAAUUGACAUAAUAGAAAUUGUUAGAGUUUUAGAACCAAUGGGACAGGAAUAAAAUGAUUAAACAACUUAUAAUCUGUGGUUCUAUAUUCUGAUGGAAACCAUCUGAAGAUUUAUACAACUUCAGAAUUGGAAGGAACUUGAAGAUCUAUUUCAAAAAACUAAUUUUAUAUUGGUCGGAGCUAUGACUAAGAGACAUUCCAUGACUUGCCCAAAGGUUUCCCAUCACACAGCUAGUUAGUGGCAGGACCAGAGCUAGACCCAAGCAUGAUGACCAAUGGGGCAGAACUUUUUCAUGGUGUAGUUUGCUUUAUAUGAUUUUUUCCUUCUUAAUAUCAGUUUAAUUUUAUUAUUGAUAUUAUCAUUGGAAUAUGAAUUCUGUCAUGUUUAAAAUUUCACUUGUUACUUUUGAUGUUUUUAAAAAACAUGUUUAAAAUAAGUUUUGUGAAUAUUUGUGCUUUCUUUUUCUGGUUCCUUUUGAAAAAAAAGAGCCCUUGUCUGAAUAUAUAUGGUUGCUGUUCAUAUAUUCAAAACCAAGCCUUUCAAGAAUUCGAGAUAUAUCAUAGUUUAUUGUGUUAUUUUCCAUUCGUGGGAUGUUUGCCUCCUGGUUAAAUUUCUCUUUUCUUCUGUGGUAGUUAUGCUCGACUUACCUUUUCAGUCUCUGCGUUCUGGAUGGUGACUGAGCAAUCGAAGGACAGUAGAGGUUUAAACCAGAUUUAGGUGCUGUGCUAAUGGUUGUGUCCAUUUUAACUUUCCAGAAGCUGAAUUUUGAGCUGAAGGAUCUGCGACCUUGGAACCUGACUUUCUGCUUUAGCUUGGCUGUUGAGAACGUUCUUGAUUGUGGAGAAGUAAUUCCUACUAGGAAGCAAUUUGUAUCCAAGAGCUAUCAUGUUUCAAACAGCAUUAGUAGAAGCAUUUAGCAGUGCUGAUCAACUUGGAUAAAUUUGGAAGAGAAAACAGAGAUUUGUAAAUUAUUAUGGGAAACAGAAUCUGCAGAUUGGUGGGAGGAGGGAAAAAAGACUAGAGGAGGAAGGAAGCCAUAUCCUAAAAAGACAAGAGCUUGGUUAUAUACUGGCGGUGUUGUAGGGAGAGAGAAAAUUGCACUAAGCUGCUCUAGUGUCCGGCUCCCUCUGGAAAGCACUGUGAUUUGGGGUAAAAUAGCCUCGGAUGGCGAGCAAGCAGAAUUAAAGCCCAUCAACCCAGGAGCGCCUGGCUGACAAGUCCAGCAGUAAUGGUGAGGAGAGACAGCAGUUGAUCUGGAAUCAACCGAAACCUGGUUCCAGAGCUUGGUAGGUGCUAACUGCAAGGACAUACCUUGAGGAAGGAGUUUCUUGCACCAAGAAUUGGAUCUUCAGGAGGGAGCAAGCUAUGAUAAGGAGGAUGAUGAAACACGGGAAGCUGUUAGGCCUGAGCAGGGAAACAAACAUACUUUACGAUCUGAUAGGUCAGCCCGGGAAGGACAUAACCCCAGAAAUUGUGGGCGAUGUAAACUAGCUUGUAUAUGUUAGGUCUCCCUAGACUUUUCAGUGUGUAGACACAGUGUAUCUUGUUAGUAUUAGAUAUGUUCAUUAUGGCAGGUGUCUGUUAGUAAUCUGUCUAUUGUCAAUCCUUCUCUCUCUGGUUCCCUUUCCCUCAUUAGAUUUUGCUGGAUAGAAGAGUGACUGUACUGCCUAUUGUUCCACACUGUUCCAUACCCUGCCCACCCAACUUAACAAUUGCACCCCCACCCCCAUCUCCACCCUCUAGCAAGCUCCCUACCUGGCCCUAUUUCUAUCCCCUUGGCAUUUAUCAUCAUCUAAUAUUCUAUAUAAUUUACCUACAUAUUAUAUUUAUAAUUUAUUAUCCAUCUUCUCCUCCCGGAAUGUCAGCCCCAUGAGGGUGGAGGAUGUUGUCUGUUCUCAGUUUUUGUUUCCCGAAUGCCUAGAACAGUGCGUGAGGGCUUAGGAAGUUAUUGAAUGACUAAAUUUUGACUAAAUUGUUGGGCCCCUCAAUAAAUAUCUUGAUUAGUGGCAUACAUCUGAUGGUUCUGUCAUUCUCUGUUCCUUGCAAGUAGGGCUGCAAAGCCAGAUUUUAAAAUUAGCAUAGUCUCUUGUUUCUCUCUGAGUUGGGGGCAAGUACAACAGGAUUGGCCUGAAAGGAGAGAGAUAACAUAAAUUAAGAUGGGAGUGGCCUGGGACCCAGAAAGACUGAAGCACAAUUUAAAGGUCUUUCUGCUCGAGUUGACUCUAAUUCGAAAAGGCCCAGAAUUUCCCUCAGUGUCCAGCUUACAGUUAGGAGACCUUGCGUAUAGUUUUGUUUCUGUCACAAAUGUACUACUUGAUGUUGAACAGAUUACUGUAUUUGUUUCAUUGUUUAUGAGAUGAGGGUAAUAAAAGUUUACCUUUUUGUGUUGCAUAAAGCUUUUUAAGAUAACAACAUGAGAUACAGUAAAAUACUUUAAAAAGUUGAAGAUGCUAAACAUUUGUAAACACAUUAUUAUUAUUAAAGCUUUUAUCUUUAAAUCUUUUCCCUAAGAUACCAUAUCCCAAUGUGUAGGCCAAGAUUUUAAGGCUUGAUAUAUAAUUGUUUUAGCUAAUAUUGUUUGCUUAGUUUCUAUAUGAGACAUUUCCUGGUUUAGAAUAUCAAUGAGUUUUUGUAUGAUACUUAUUUUGUAUCUUCUUCAUUCAGAUAUGAACAUAAGUUACUCCACCGGCAAUCAGAAAAUGAUGUUUGACUAUUUAUGAUCACUGACUUGGGCUGAGAAAAUCCUGGAUUUGAAGUGAGGAGUGGGAUGGAGGUUGCAUAGAGCGCCUGUGGGGGAAGCCUUGGCAGGUACCGAGGAAUGAGUUUGGCAGGAACUAGCCCAUCAGGUGCAUGGGCCAUAAAAUGAGGCCAUGAGGGACGCAGUGUUCCUGAUGACAGUGUUAAAUCCGUUUCAAAUAAAGUGAACUGUUUGCUUAAACUUUCCUGUGUUCCCUCAGACCUUUGGCGCUGAGAACCAACUCAAUAUAGAAAUUAGCUCACCCAGAGACUGCGGGGCAGAAAGACUCAAAGUACAGACUGUUGUGUCAAAAUUGUGUUUAGUAACACAAAACUCUCAGGAAAUAUUUGCCGUGUUGCUUUUUAGAACUUUCUAGUGUGAACAAAAUUUCCUCUUCUUCUGUUACAGCUCUAUUAUAUCUUAUCAAUCAUAUUCUUUUAGCAUAACAUUUGAAACAAAGUUUUUACCUGAUGAAAUACAUAUGUAUUCAGCUUUCUGACAAACCUCUGCUCUUUUAAUUUUAAUUUUUUGUUAAAAUUAUGCAAAGAAAAUUGCAUCCCAAGGAAGCAUUGAUUAUACCUAUUCUCAUGGUUAUUUCGUGUUUUAUUUUUAUUUUUAUGUGAAUUCUUUUUCGACGACCUUUUCUUCAGUGAAGAUUGUUUCAAGUAAAGCUGUCUGAUAUAGAGACAUGGUUGCUAGGGAGACAGAGUCAUAAUGGCUGAUGUUACCAGGGAAGGUAAAGCGGUGAGUCCCUGAUUAUAGAAGAGAACAAUUUUUCAUUCUCCUUGAAAGCGAGUCUUCUUUAUACACAGAUGACAAGUUCACUAACUCAGUAGAAAUAAGACUUCAGAAAGAAAUAUUAAAUUUUAAUGUUUCCUCAGAGUGAUGUAAACCUAAAGACAUUUUUUUAGGAUGAAUGAAUGAGUUUAUGCUCACCGAUCUCUCAAUCUGUGGUGAAUAUUCUUUUGGAAAAACCAACAUGGUGCAAAUCUUUUGGUUUAUAAAACUAGCUGUAAACGUCAUCACACCAGCUUGGAACUGAAAGGAUGUCAGGGGAACAUGUUUUAAGAAAACAACCUUAAAAUGCAUUAGCUUCCUAUUACAAACCUUUUAUCCCAAUUAAAAAAUGGAAUCAAA